rnacentral:rRNA from 1 species
CCUUCGGGAGGGGAUUAGUGGCGAACGGGUGAGUAACACGUGGGCAAUCUGCCCUGCACUCUGGGACAAGCCCUGGAAACGGGGUCUAAUACCGGAUACUGAUCAUCUUGGGCAUCCUUGGUGAUCGAAAGCUCCGGCGGUGCAGGAUGAGCCCGCGGCCUAUCAGCUUGUUGGUGAGGUAAUGGCUCACCAAGGCGACGACGGGUAGCCGGCCUGAGAGGGCGACCGGCCACACUGGGACUGAGACACGGCCCAGACUCCUACGGGAGGCAGCAGUGGGGAAUAUUGCACAAUGGGCGAAAGCCUGAUGCAGCGACGCCGCGUGAGGGAUGACGGCCUUCGGGUUGUAAACCUCUUUCAGCAGGGAAGAAGCGAAAGUGACGGUACCUGCAGAAGAAGCGCCGGCUAACUACGUGCCAGCAGCCGCGGUAAUACGUAGGGCGCGAGCGUUGUCCGGAAUUAUUGGGCGUAAAGAGCUCGUAGGCGGCUUGUCGCGUCGGUUGUGAAAGCCCGGGGCUUAACCCCGGGUCUGCAGUCGAUACGGGCAGGCUAGAGUUCGGUAGGGGAGAU